CAAUAGCGUAUAUUAAAGUUGUUGCAGUUAAAAAGCUCGUAGUUGGAUUUCUGUUCUUGGGAUCUGGUCCGCCUCACGGUGAGCACUGGAUAACUGGGGACAUCCUCUCGAAGGCGGCAGGUGCACUUGAUUGUGUGUUUGUUGAAUUCGGGACCUUUACUUUGAAAAAAUUAGAGUGUUCAAAGCAGGCGUCGGCUUGAAUACAUCAGCAUGGAAUAAUGGAAUAGGACUUUGGUUCUAUUUUGUUGGUUUCUAGGACCGAAGUAAUGAUUAAUAGGGACAGUUGGGGGCAUUAGUAUUUAAUUGUCAGAGGUGAAAUUCUUGGAUUUAUGAAAGACUAACUACUGCGAAAGCAUUUGCCAAGGAUGUUUUCAUUAA
rnacentral:rRNA from 1 species